GCUCCGGUGGCCUAUCGGUUAUAGCAUUCGUCUCGAAAGCGGGAGGUCGUGGGUUCGAACCCCGGCCGAGUCA